AUUGAACGCUGGCGGCAUGCCUUACACAUGCAAGUCGAACGGCAGCACGGGAGCAAUCCUGGUGGCGAGUGGCGAACGGGUGAGUAAAGUAUCGGAACGUGCCCAGUCGUGGGGGAUAACGUAGCGAAAGUUACGCUAAUACCGCAUACGAUCUAUGGAGGAAAGCGGGGGAUCGCAAGACCUAGCGCGAUUGGAGCGGCCGAUAUCAGAUUAGGUAGUUGGUGGGGUAAAGGCCCACCAAGCCGACGAUCUGUAGCUGGUCUGAGAGGACGACCAGCCACACUGGGACUGAGACACGGCCCAGACUCCUACGGGAGGCAGCAGUGGGGAAUUUUGGACAAUGGGCGCAAGCCUGAUCCAGCCAUGCCGCGUGCAGGAUGAAGGCCUUCGGGUUGUAAACUGCUUUUGUACGGAACGAAAAGGUUUGGCCUAAUAAGCUGAGCUCAUGACGGUACCGUAAGAAUAAGCACCGGCUAACUACGUGCCAGCCGCCGCCGUAA
rnacentral:rRNA from 1 species